rnacentral:rRNA from 1 species
AUUGAACGCUAGCGGCAGGCCUAACACAUGCAAGUCGAGCGAGCGGCGGACGGGUGAGUAAUGUAUGGGAAUCUGCCCGAUGGAGGGGGAUAACUACUGGAAACGGUAGCUAAUACCGCAUACUAUCGGAUGAACCCAUAUGGGAUUAGCUAGUAGGUGAGGUAACGGCUCACCUAGGCGACGAUCCCUAGCUGGUCUGAGAGGAUGACCAGCCACACUGGGACUGAGACACGGCCCAGACUCCUACGGGAGGCAGCAGUGGGGAAUAUUGCACAAUGGGCGCAAGCCUGAUGCAGCCAUGCCGCGUGUAUGAAGAAGGCCUUCGGGUUGUAAAGUACUUUCAGUCGGGAGGCGUUACCGGCAGAAGAAGCACCGGCUAACUCCGUGCCAGCAGCCGCGGUAAUUC